AAUUAUUUUGUACGAUCUGGCCACAAUGGAAAAUGUUAUACAAAGCGUAAAUUUUAAGGCGCCACCACGCUGAAAUAAGUUGGACAUCCUACAUUAUACCUAAUAAUUGCAUUUGUAAAGAUGGAAUCAGAUAAAUAAGUAAUAAGCAGUAAAAAAUUUAAAUUAUCGAGUUUGCAUACAGGAGUGUCUAAACAAUUCCAAUAAGCUGUGCAUACCAUUUCCCAGACACGCUGACUUUUUACAACAAAAAAUUGGCAUAUAGUGAAUAACAAAAUUAGGAAUAUCAUUUCCAUACAAAAAAAAGACAAAAGACACCAUCGCCACACCACGCGGUUAUAGCCGAGUUCACAA